CCGGAACUUGUUUGCAGAUUUGCUAAGGAAGGGUAAAUUAUCUUAAGGACAUGAUUACCACCCAAAAGGAUAAAAUUUAAGUUCAUAGUACUAACGCCAUCACUGUCUACCAGGUAUCUUAAUUCUCAACAUCGUGUAUGUAGAGCACAUAUAGGUUUUACACUGAAGCUUUAUGAACCAACAUGCUAGUUCCUCCAAUAUGUGUAUAAGUAUAACCAUUAUCAGUGACCAAGGAAAUGAGGCAGAAGCUACACAGCCUUCAUUACGAUCAUAUAUAACUAGGCCAUGCACUGAUAUGACCAGCGUGGAUAUUCACCACUACAUAUCAUUCAGUUAAGGAAUUAUAGUAUUCUUGUAAAAAAAACUUGUCAGUUCCAUGCUGUCUGCUGCAAGAAAGGUAAUAAGACUUAGUAAUGCAAGGUAAUACUGCAGCAAUGUGAAAGAACUGAUGCACAGGGGAGAAGUCACUCUUAAGUUCCCCAAGCUACUCCAUGCACGAUUAUGGCUAAGCAAGUUUGUCUGCAAAAUAAAAGAUACAGGUACUUAAAGAUGGUACAAGAUUAGAUCUUAUUUUGACUCAAUUUACUCCAUCUCUGCUACCUGCCCUUGUCUUCUUCCAUAAAUUGAAGGGUCUUCUAUGAGAAAAUGGAAGCCCCCCAUCCCUUCUUUAACGGCUACAGGUAUUAACAUUCCGAUGGAACAGAUUUUGAGUACCUUAACUUGCUUGAAGUAAAUAAUCUAGUGAAUAUUAAGACUGCAUCAACAUUCACACACAAAGAAGACUAUAAUUAGAAAUUUAGAAGUGGAUUAGGCACAUAAC
rnacentral:lncRNA from 1 species